GCCGCCACUUCAAUAAGAUUAUCUUGUUAGAUGAUAACGAUCUUCUUUUCUCAAAUACUCUCUCUCUUUCUUUUAUCUUUCGAACAAACUCUCUCUCUCUCUCUCUCUUUCUUUCUCUUACUUUUCUUACUUUUAUUUAAAUUGUUUUUUUUUUUUUUCUUUUAGAUUUUUUCGUUGAGAUUAUAUUCCCCCGUUUAUCUCUCUCGAUAAAAAAAUCUUGAUUAAAUAAUAAUAAUAAUAAUAAUAAUAAUAAUAAUAAUAAUAAUAAUAACAAAACAAGAAAAAAAAAACAAAUAACAAAGUAGGUCCGAUGUUUGACGAUCUAUCACGAUCUUUCACGAUGUAUCUUGAUCGAUCGAUAGGCACAGUAUUAUCGAUGAUACGGAUCUAUGCACGGAUACAAACUUAUGCGAGUGGACAUUUCGCGAUAUUUCAAAAUUGAACGUGUCGAAUCGCAUCGCAGUCGCCGACUGACUGACUGACUGACCGAGUCAAUGGAAAAAAGACCUGGCAGCUGCGGCUGCGGUGGUGAAGUGGUAGUAGUAGUGGUGGUGGUGGUGGUGGUGGUGAUGGUGAUGGUGGUGGUUAUGGUGGAGCGGCGAUUCCAUCUUCUCCUCUUCUCUUCCCUUCUCACCAUUGGACCCGUAAGAGAUCCCUAUCUCUUUACGAACUACUCUCUCUUUCUCUUUCUCUUUUUAGUUUUCUUUUUCUAUCUCUUAACUCUUGGUCUCUCAUGUAGCCUUCCUCUUCUUCUUCUUCUUCUUCUUCUUCUUCUUCUUCUUCUUCUUCACAUACGCAACGCAUGCAGAAUUAGGGAGCACGCACACUGAUCUUUUUCUUUUGCAAAUAUAAACUUAGGAAGAAUCGUUUCUCUCUUAGUCUCCUCUUAGUUUACACUUAGAGAUGAGAUAUGUUCUAAAGAGACAAGUCCAAUUUGCAUCUUACAAUUAGAGGUCGUCUGUAGACGACGACGACGAAGAAGAAGACGAGGCAGACACGAACUUAAAGGGUCGACGUACGAAUCCUUCCUUGUGUAUAUGUAAUAUACGCAUGUGUACGUACGUUGUUAUGUGCAUUUGCACAUGGUGAUGGUGUGUGUGUGUGUGUAUGUGUAGAGAGAAUGAUGGCGUGGCAAAUUAACGCCGAAAUUAUAUUUAAUAUAAGUGAGCUUGCCGAAAAUUCUCACGUCUUUUUCUCUUUAAUAGUUGUUCAUUGUUAAUCUUUCAUCUAUUUAAUUCUUUUACAAAUAUUUAAAAUAACGAUGACGAUAGUUAUAUUGAUUUAACAUUUAAGAAAUAUAAAUAUAGUUAAAUUGUGUUAUGUUGAAGUCUUAAAUGAUUAGCCAUCAAGAAGACGAGAUAAUUUUGAUUGGAUACCACAACUUACACAUAUGCAAUAAGACCUAGAAGGAAUAUAGCAGAUGUACCUUUUAUGAUGUAUUAUAUUUUACGAGCAUUAUUCGACGAUGGUUAAUCCUUUCGUUUCCGAAAGAUCACUUGAGAAUACAUGGAAAUUCAGAAUUUGAAAUAACAAAUAAAAUGAAAAGAAAUCGAUUCACUAAAGGAUUUUUCUUGCAUUACUUAAAUCUCCAAAUGAUUAUCUUCAAGCAAUUUAAAUUUAAUGAAUGGAUCCUAUAAUUAUCAUAAAAUUUAAUUGCAUUAAAUAUAUGACGAGUGUAUUUACGUAUAUCUUUCUCCAUUAAAAGUAAUAAAUCUAUUACUCGUGCGAGAAGAACGUAACAGACACACACACACACAUACACACAACCUCAGAAGAGAAAUUAUUUUCAACGGUGCACUUUGUCCUGUCUGUCUCUUCAAAGAGAGAUUUCUCUUCUUCUUCUUCUUCUUCUUCUUCUUCUUGUUCACGUCCUCUUCCUUGUCCGGUACAACUAACUGAACGUUUCCACGGUCGUUUCACGAGCCGUUAUAAAGGCUGGCUUGUUAGACGAGAUGCUCUUCCACGUAGUAGGAGACAUGCACCGAUUUUACACUCCGUCGGUGUUGCGUGGUCUCGCAAAACCGCGAACAUUUUUCGCGCCUUGAUGGAAAAUACAAGAAGAUGAAGAAUGAAGGAUGAAGAUGAUGAUGAUGAAGAAGAAGAAGAAGAAGAAGAAGAGAAAGAUACUACGAGAAACACUUUUGUUCAAAUACAAACGAAGGAUGAUAAAAUGAUAUUUCAUCAUUUUUCUAAUAUUUGUCAUUUUAAUUUUCAUAGUAAUAGAAUUCAAUGAAUACAAUAUUCGUCAUUGUAAUCAAAAUUAAAAGUUAUUCAUUAAUCAUAAUGCAUGGUCAACAACCAUGACGACGACGACGACGACGACAACGACAACAGGUAUUGGCAAUGAUCUAGCGAAAUAAUCGUUGUGUAUUAUCCUUGUUAUCGAACAAUCUCAAUCUAUCUUUAUGAAACCCUCAUCUCUCUCUCUCUCUCUCUCUCUCUCUCUCUUCUAGUCUACCCAAAAAAAAGAACAUGAGAACAACCUACUUCGUCUUCAGUGAGAUGAUAGAUCCUUUAAAGUUAAUUCGAAGGUAAUCUUACAGAUGGAUGCCUUCGAUCGCGACUACAAUGUUCUUGAUUCCAAUAUACCGGUAUAGGUGCGUGCGUGAAGAAGAAGUUGAGAAUCGUGUGCAAAGAAAAGAGAAGAAGUCACGAAUUGCUUUGUUGCCAAGUCCUCGUCUCCGAUGGAUUCUACUACAGAAAUACAAUCAACAAAAAUAUGAACGUUCUUUCUUUUUUUUUCAUUGAAAAACUUGAUCGUAAAUCUCAUCGUUAUGGUACUUACAAGUAAUACAAAUGAAAUAUAUUUUGUAAAUAAGAAAAAUUGAAGUAAAAAGAAAAAAAAACACAAGGAAAACUAUGUUGUAGAAUAUCAGGAACAUCAGGCAGAGAGAUGAUAUGCAUCGUGUUAUAAGCGAGGAAAAGAUUUAUUAUCGAAUAUAUUUCGAUUUAUUUGAAUUUUGGAUAGACAGGUCAGAAGGUUUUGAAGAUAAAAUAGACAUCAUUCCUUGUUAGAAGUAAAUCUCCACGUCUCAGUCAGAUUUGUAGCGAAUUGGGUAGGCGUGGAGUGAAAUUUUGAUGAAAGGAGGAACAAUUUUGAAAGAAUCAUCAUCGCUGCUUGCUGCUGCUGCUGCUGCUGCUGCUGCCUUAUGCCCCUUUCAAGAAACGAGAAGGUGUUUUUUUUUUUUUUAUGUCCUUUGUAUUUCUUCGAGAUGCUCGUUAAAAUUAGGAGCCGUGAAAAAUUAUUUACUCAAAUUGAAAUUUUACGUUUAUUUACGAUCUGUAAACAUCGUAAUAAGAAGAAGAAGAAGAAGAAGAAGAAAAAAGAACGAAAAAGAUAUAUAUAAUGUCGAUAUUAACAACGUAUUAUAGUAACAUUUGUACACAUCGUCAUCUUUUGCUGAGAAAAGAAGAGAAUAAAGGUGAAGAAGAAGAUGAAAAGGGAUAGGGAAAGAAGAAGAUCCUUCUGAUGGAUCAUGUCAAAAGCCCCAGGGAUUGUCAGAUUUAUUCAAUAGAUCAA